UCAGAUGUAGUGUAAUUGGAACACAGCCUCCUCUUGUGUUCAACAUGAGCCCAGUUUCAGAGGCAGUCUGGGGUUCGAAUCCCUGUGUCUGAA